UGGGGAAUUUUGGACAAUGGGCGCAAGCCUGAUCCAGCAAUGCCGCGUGAGUGAAGAAGGCCCUCGGGUUGUAAAGCUCUUUUGUCAGGGAAGAAAAGGUGAUCUCUAAUACAGGUCACUUAUGACGGUACCUGAAGAAUAAGCACCGGCUAACUACGUGCCAGCAGCCGCGGUAAUACGUAGGGUGCAAGCGUUAAUCGGAAUUACUGGGCGUAAAGCGUGCGCAGGCGGUUAUAUAAGUCAGAUGUGAAAUCCCCGGGCUCAACCUGGGAACUGCAUUUGAGACUGUAUGGCUAGAGUGUGUCAGAGGGGGGUAGAAUUCCACGUGUAGCAGUGAAAUGCGUAGAUAUGUGGAGGAAUACCGAUGGCGAAGGCAGCCCCCUGGGAUAACACUGACGCUCAUGCACGAAAGCGUGGGGAGCAAACA
rnacentral:rRNA from 1 species